rfam:Gossypium hirsutum cultivar TM-1 unplaced genomic scaffold scaffold5228.1, whole genome shotgun sequence
CACGUCAGCGCGAGUUGCUGACGUAGAAGGAAUCGCGUCCUUGAGGGAGCGAUUUUCUUCCACGUCAGCAACUCGCGCUGACGUGG